ACUUGCGCAAUGGGCGAAAGCCUGACGCAGCAACGCCGCGUGCGGGAAGAAGGCCUUCGGGUUGUAAACCGCUUUCAGCAGGACGAAAAUGACGGUACCUGCAGAAGAAGGUGCGGCCAACUACGUGCCAGCAGCCGCGGUGACACGUAGGCACCAAGCGUUGUCCGGAUUUAUUGGGCGUAAAGAGCUCGUAGGCGGUUCAGUAAGUCGGGUGUGAAAACUCUGGGCUUAACCCAGAGCCGCCACCCGAUACUGCUGUGACUAGAGUCCGGUAGGGGAGUGGGGAAUUCCUAGUGUAGCGGUGAAAUGCGCAGAUAUUAGGAGGAACACCGGUGGCGAAGGCGCCACUCUGGGCCGGAACUGACGCUGAGGAGCGAAAGCGUGGGUAGCAAACAGGAUUAGAUACCCUGGUAGUCCACGCCGUAAACGUUGGGCACUAGGUGUGGGCCUCAACCAACGAGGUCCGUGCCGUCGCUAACGCAUUAAGUGCCCCGCCUGGGGAGUACGGCCGCAAGGCUA
rnacentral:rRNA from 1 species